rnacentral:misc_RNA from 1 species
GGCGUGAUGGCCGAGUGGUCUAAGGCGCUGUCUUAAGGCUUGUACAAGCAUGAUUGGGCACUAUCGACUAGCCAUAUCAUCCACAAUCUCAAGUAGCCUGGCUCAAGUGCUGUGUCAAGCUGUCAAAGUGCCACCUUGCCAGCCGAUGAGCUGGUUUUAGGGUUAGGGUUAGGGGACUUGGCCAGGAGGAGCAGGAGGACGAUCAAAACUCGCUUCUUUCGAGGUGGGACUGUGGAGUGGGUGCAAGGGAGUGUGGAAAGAGUGCUGGGGAGUGAGCUGGGUGAGUUUGAGGAGGAAAAGGUCUGGCUUUCCCGCUUCAGCGCCCCUCUGAAGGUCCAGAGGAGAGGGGAGGUGGGGAACUGGAGCAGGGAGAGCAGGACGAAGAAUGGAGACUGAGCCACUCUCCCUCACCCCUCUCCCCUCAAAAGCAGGCUGACUCCUUCUCCACACAGGCUUAACACCCUCGCCAAGUGCACCGCAAAACAAGUGCUGCCACACUCUCUUAAACUCCGGAGAGAGUGAAUUUGACGGGCCGAAGUGUUUUGAGGACGUCUAGAAGAGGGCGGUUGAGCAGGAACUGACGUCAAGUCCAGUCUGAGCGUGCUUGCUGUCUCCGUUCUAAGCGGAAGGAAAGGGAGUUUGAGCAGACAAGCCUCAAGUAGUGCGGUGUCAAGCUGGCGCCCAGCCAGCUUGCGAGCUGGCACAGCACAGUCACUCACAUGUACGAAAACGUGGGAAAGUGGAAAGGAAGGUGGUUUGAGCUGCUUUUGGGGAGCAUGACUGGGGAGUAGGAAGAGGUGGGAGAAGUUGCUUCUCUCAGGCUGGGACAGGUCGAGGUCGUGGAGUGGCUUUAAGAAAGAGUGGGAACAGUGCUGUGGAGUGAGCCAGGAGUGUUUGAGGAGGAAAAGAUCUCGCUUUGCAGCUUCAGUCGCUCUCCCAAGGUCAAGUAGGGGAACCGUGGGUUGGAGCAGGAAGAGCGGGGGGAAGAGCUGGAGACCAACCACUGUUUCUUCACCUUCUCCCCUCAAAGCCAGGCUAACUCUCCUCUCACACAGGCUCAACACAGUUGUCAAGUGCACUUCAAGAACAGUGCAGUUGCUUCCUCUCAAAGCUGUACAGUUGGGACUGUUCUCAGCGGCACAAGGCGUUUGACACAGAAGGAAGCAGGUUUUUGCGGCCAUGGACGCCUUUUUCAGGCUCAGCAGGAGGAGAGGGUAGGGGCAGUUUGCUGGUUCAGGGGGGGGGGGCAGGGAAGUUGCGGAGAUUUGACAAGGGUGUGUUGAAGCAGGAGGAAGUGCUGGAGAAGCCGAUUGAACAUCAUCUCCUAGACUCCUCCUCCUCCUCACCCAGUUCAUCCGCCCUGUCCCCAGGAUGUUCAGCUGCUCCCGCCUCUUCUCUUCUGAGGUUGUAGACCCUGACUAGAGUAGGGCGUAACAGCAAAAAAGGAAAGCCAAAGGAAAGGCUGAGUGAACCAAGGGGAGAGAGCAACACACCAGCCCCCCCUCCUCCUCAC